GGUAAUGGCUCACCAAGGCGACGACGGGUAGCCGGCCUGAGAGGGCGACCGGCCACACUGGGACUGAGACACGGCCCAGACUCCUACGGGAGGCAGCAGUGGGGAAUAUUGCACAAUGGGCGAAAGCCUGAUGCAGCGACGCCGCGUGAGGGAUGACGGCCUUCGGGUUGUAAACCUCUUUCAGCAGGGAAGAAGCGAAAGUGACGGUACCUGCAGAAGAAGCACCGGCUAACUACGUGCCAGCAGCCGCGGUAAUACGUAGGGUGCGAGCGUUGUCCGGAAUUAUUGGGCGUAAAGAGCUUGUAGGCGGUUUGUCGCGUCUGCUGUGAAAAUCCGGGGCUCAACCCCGGACUUGCAGUGGGUACGGGCAGACUAGAGUGUGGUAGGGGAGACUGGAAUUCCUGGUGUAGCGGUGAAAUGCGCAGAUAUCAGGAGGAACACCGAUGGCGAAGGCAGGUCUCUGGGCCACUACUGACGCUGAGAAGCGAAAGCAUGGGGAGCGAACAGGAUUAGAUACCCUGGUAGUCCAUGCCGUAAACGUUGGGCGCUAGGUGUGGGACUCAUUCCACGAGUUCCGUGCCGCAGCUAACGCAUUAAGCGCCCCGCCUGGGGAGUACGGCCGCAAGGCUAAAACUCAAAGGAAUUGACGGGGGCCCGCACAAGCGGCGGAGCAUGCGGAUUAAUUCGAUGCAACGCGAAGAACCUUACCAAGGCUUGACAUAUACCGGAAACAUCCAGAGAUGGGUGCCCCUUUUGGUCGGUAUACAGGUGGUGCAUGGUUGUCGUCAGCUCGUGUCGUGAGAUGUUGGGUUAAGUCCCGCAACGAGCGCAACCCUCGUUCUAUGUUGCCAGCACGUGAUGGUGGGGACUCAUAGGAGACUGCCGGGGUCAACUCGGAGGAAGGUGGGGAUGACGUCAAAUCAUCAUGCCCCUUAUGUCUUGGGCUUCACGCAUGCUACAAUGGCCGGUACAAAGGGCUGCGAUACCGCAAGGUGGAGCGAAUCCCAAAAAACCGGUCUCAGUUCGGAUUGGGGUCUGCAACUCGACCCCAUG
rnacentral:rRNA from 1 species